UGGAAGAUGUGUCAAGCGACGUUUACGACUGGAGGAGGAACUUUUCACCUUAAUUGCCGGGCGAAAAGCAGGAAACGUUUUCGAAGUUGAAAAGGGUUCGUUGGUACAUCAAAAGCACUUGUUCAGCAAGAAAUUCAGCAACGAAAAAUUCGAAAUUUAUAUUCGGACGAUAUAAUUUGAAUUACAAGAAAUGUUUGCACCGAACAGGUCGAAUGGGUUUCAUUGUGGACCGUGUGCAGCUCGCUCGAGAGGUUGACGUUUGAAUUUACCGCCACGAACGCGUCCAGAAAUGUUCGUUUACACGCCGAGAAAACGGAAUCACAAAAAAUAUCGAAAAACCAGAG